GCACCACAAGAAGUGGAGCCUGCGGCUUAAUUUGACUCAACACGGGAAACCUCACCAGGUCAGGACAUUGGAAUGAUUGACAGAUUGAUAGCACUUUCUUGAAUCAGUGGGUAUGGUGCAUGGCUGUUCUUAGUUGGUGGAUCGAUUUGUCUGGUUAAUUCCGAUAACGAACGAGACUCAAGCCUAUUAACUAGACGCGUUUGGUAUCGAAUCUACCGGCGAACAAUAUUCUUCUUAAGGGGACAGGCGGAUUCUAGCCGCUCGAGAUUGAGCAGUAACAGGUCUGUGAUGCCCUUAGAUGUCCUGGGCCGCACGCGCGCUACACUGAAGGAAUCAGCGUGUGCGUUCCCUUGGCCGAAAGGUCCGGGUAACCCGCUGAACCUCCUUCGUGCUAGGAAUUGGGGCUUGCAAUUGUUUCCCAUGAACGAGGAAUUCCCAGUAAGCGCGAGUCAUAGGCUCGCGUUGAUUACGUCCCUGC
rnacentral:misc_RNA from 13 species